rnacentral:lncRNA from 1 species
CCAAAGCAUUCCAUGCAUAUUAUUGGUGGAAGUUCAAAGGUUAUGGUCAAACACGACAGUCAUGAGCUAUAACUUUUAAUCACCAAGACUAGUGGAUAACCGGCAAAAGGGCGAAUUGACCUCGCAAUUUUAAACCCGAUAGCCAAGAAAACACAAGAACAUCUAGAAUUGUAGUUAAGUGUCUGAAUCCUAUCCAAAUGACUAUCACGAUCCAAUCUCCAUACCCGAUCGUGCUGGCGCCUCUCAUGAAGACAUGGCCAGCCAACUAAUCCAAUUCGUUUCUUUAACACUUACUAAACAUAAAUAGAUGGGAAAAUACAACUUAAAGAACACUAAUUAUCAAUAUUAUGGCCUAACUCAGCUCGACCGGAAUAUCACAAAUCACGAGCAUCUAGGAGGGUCUUUAUUACAAUUUUAAAGUUUAUAAGAAAUAAAGUAAAAUCUAGAAAUCAAGAAGAAGAAUCUCGGUGCCGCAAACGCCGACGGUCACCCUGCUUAGCUACGAUAGCAAUACCUUCAAUCCGCUACUAACCUGCUACCGGGUGAACAGUACAUGCAACUGCACAUGAGGUACAUUGAGUAAAGUGAGUACUUCCAACUUAGUGCUAAUAAGAGCGAAUAAUAUCUGAGCGAUAAGAAAAUAAGUAUGAGCACUCCAAAAUGCUAUAACAGACAGUACAACCCCUUUUUUAAAAAAAUGGUAAAAACUGUAACACCGAGAAAAUCCUUUAGAAAAUCUCAAGCUCAGUUAAAAAUUCUCUUUUGCAAAUACGCCUUUUCAACAGUUGCGAAAGAAAUUUCAACAAGUAGGGAAUAAUUAGAAAUCUGCCUCUCGGGCUCAAUAUCAACCUCUCAUUACAGUAUCAGCUCCGCGGGCUCACUCCCAACUCACAAAGUACAACAUCAGCCUCUCGGGCUCAGCACUCUUUAACAUGUAACACCAUGGUAUCCGGGAAAUAAGGCAAGUAAUAGCAUGUAUGCCAAUGAUAUGAGAGAGCCAAAAAUCAUGCCAUGUAGUACAAACAGGAAUGAAUGCAUGAAUGCAAUGCACAUAACUGCUGCGACGCGCAGUUCAAUCCAUUUGGGCACCCUUCGCUCACUAGGGGUGUGUACAGACUCCGGAGGGGAUCCUACAGCCCAAGCGCUAUAAUACUGCGGCGUGCAGUCUGAUCCAUAUAAUAUACUACUGCGGCGUGCAAUCCGAUCCAUAUAAUAUACUACUGCGGCGUGCAAUCUGAUCCAUGCAUGUAUAUGUAUAUACUGCUGCGGCAUGCAGCCCGACCCAUGUCUCAAUCCAGAAAUGCAUACAUAACAUUGCUGUGGUGCGCAGCCCAAUCGAUGCUCAGUCCAACAAUGCACAUAAACCCCUUGGGCAAUAGUAAAAUAGCAGUUCUCAGCUCAAUACGUCAGUAAAAUAUCAUUUAAGUUUUCAAAUCUUAGGAAAAUGGUGAGUUUGCGAAAUAGUAGUUAGAACCUUGGACUGAGAUCAAAUAAUAUGCAACGUAAUAUAAAAUAGUGAUAUCAAUCCCUGAAGGAUUCAAAUAAUUGGAACGAAUCCCAAAACAUGGCGAUCACCCCAAAUCAUGAUAACAUCAAGUAGUUUUCAGUCAAUCACGCAGUAAAAUCAACAACCGGGACGGACCAAGUCACAAUCCCCAACGGUGCUCUACCACACGCUUAUACCUGACGUGCAAGACACCACUAUACAGUACUAUGAUAUGCAAAUCUGGGGUUUCAAACCAUCAGGAUAUCAUUCACAAGUAUUACUCACCUAGAACCGGCGAAAUCUCAAGUAUGUGAUGCCUUUGCCCCCUCAAAUCGGCCUCCACGCGCGUCGCGUCUAGCCAAAAACAGAACGAAUACAUCACAAUAUGUAAAUGGGACAAUACCCAAUCAAAAACUAUCGAAUUAUAGCAAGAACCUCAAAACUAGCAAAACCCGAGCCCCGGGACCGCUUCUCAAAAAAUUAUAAAACUUACAUUAUUGGAUUCCUCGUCUCGCCACGAGUCCGUGCAUACUAAGAACACCCAAAUCCGAGCUCAAGUGACCUAUCAAAUUCCAAUUUGAAAUAUAAAAAACUCAAGACCUAGUUCUUCAAUUUUAGGCCUAAUUUCUUGAAUUUCUAGGUAGAUUCCACAAUAAAUACGAAGUUUAAGUUCAAAAGUUCAAUAGAUUUUCCUUGAAUCGCUCUUCAAUUCGCUCUCCCAAGCUCCAAAAUCGCUCAACAAUAGAGGAAAAUAACAUUGGAUCGCGGAUGAAAUAUUAUUAAAAACCCUUCUACCCAGGUGCUUUACUCUAUACGAUCGCAUAAGUCCAUUGCGAUCGCAUAGUACCAAAAAUCAAUCUCUCAGAAUUACCCUAUGCGAAUGCAACAAAUCCUACGCGAACGCAGUGACAUCCCAAAAUACUCUAUGCGAUCGCACACACUCUCACGCGAUCGCAUGGGACAAUUUCUACCAAAAUUUCUGGUCAAAAUUUACACUGUGUGAUCGCAUGACAAACAUUGCUAUCGUACAUAACAACCAAUCACCCCUCAUAAUUCCUUCUAUGCGAUCACAUGACACUCUCUGCGAUUGCAUAGAGCAAAUAUGGUCUGCAAUUUUUCUGCUGUAAUUAUGAAACUCCAAACCUCCCGAUAGCCUUCUGAAAUCACCCCGAGCCCCCGGGACCUCAACCAAAAGCACAAAUAUGUUCUAUUACCUUAUUCAAACUUGCUCGAAUCAUAAAAACACUAUCAUUUACAUCAAAAUCUCCAAAUAUCAUCAAAUCAAGGCCUAAAUUUUCUUUAAACUUCCGAAACUCACAUUCGAUCAAAAACCUAACCAAACGACGUCCGAAUGACCUAAAAGUUUUCAGCAUAUCCAAAAUCACCUAACGAAGCUACUGAAACUCUCGAAAUUCAAUUCUGACCCUCGGACCAAAAUCUCGCCUAUCAACCAGGAUUCGCCAAAAUUCAAACUUUGCCAAUUCAAGCCCAAUUCUACAUCAAGCUUCCAAAAACAAUUCCAAUCACACUCCUAAGUCACAAACCAUCCCCCGAAGCUAACCAAACCACCGGAAUUUACAUCCGAGCCCUCUAACCACAUAGUCAACUUCCAGUUGACUUUUCCAAAAUAAGCUCCCUUCUAAGAGACUAUGUGCCUCAUUUCCAACUAAAACCAAAUCAAUUCUAUCUGAUCAACUCAAAUACUGAUAUUGAAACAUAGAGCAACAUAAUAUGGGGGAAACGGGGGCGGUAACUCACGUGACAACGGGCUGGGUCAUCACAUCCUCCCCAACUAAAACAAACGCUUGUCCUCGAGCGUGCCUAGAGUUGUCCUAGAAGCCAACCAAGAACUGAACAUCCUUACCAAGCAUAUACCCAGGGUGAUCCCACGUCACCCUAUCUCUUAUAGGUCCAACAACACAACAUGGCUGAAAUUACCUAAUCCAUUCUAAAUCAACUCAAAUACUGAUAUUGAAACAAGAACAACAUAAUAUGGGGGAAACGGGGCGGUAACUCACGUGAUAACAGGCCAGGUCGUCAUAUCAUCCCCAACAUAAACAAACGCUCGUCCUCAAUCGUAUUCAGAGUUGUCUUAGAAGCCAACCAAUAGCUGAAUGACCUUACCAAGCAUACACAGGGUGAUCCCACUUCACCCUAUCUCGCAUAGGUCCGACAACAUAAUAUAGCUGAAAUUUCCCCAAUCCAGUCUAGCCUAUAAUUCACAAAACUAUUUUUUUCACUUCUGAAACCAUCGAUACGAUCAAACCUCGCACUUAUUCUUUGAAUAGUCCCGAACCAGCUAUAAUAACCCAUACAUGCAUCCACAAAUGAAACCACAUGAUAUACCACAUAAUGCAGCACCCGAAACGAUAACUUCUAUUCACAACAGCUCUCCACAACAACCAUAUACCGAUAGAAACCUCUCAAUAGCUAAAUCCCCAUUCCAACACUUCGUAUCCUAUCAAUGAUAAUGAACCCACAGCAAACCGUAACCAUUUCUCAGAUCAACCACUCAUGAAGACACUCCCUUUUUGACUAAUACCACAACCUAUUUCCGAGAUCAUACUCAAAAUCAGAACCUCACGUCAAUAUUCAGAAUAAACUCGUACCUCGAUAUUAUCCUUCCAACAAGCUGAAAUCAAAUCUGAUUAUGUCCAUUAAUGACUCCAACGAUCACCCCGAAUUCAACGCACCACUCUGGUGAUAUGACACCUCAUCACAGGCCUAAGCCAUAACUUGCAUAAUCCACGCACCAAAUGAUGGGUGGUCCAAACAUACUCAAAUCAUGAAAACGACUCAAUGAAAGAGUACAACAUAAAACUAAGACCCCGUCUCACAUCAUAAAAAUAGAGUACCUGAAUCCUCCUCGAAAGGUCAUAACUUCACGUGGCCUUGCCAUAACGCGCGAUCCUAUCCAACACUGUUACACAUGAAGCGCCUCAAGUCACCAUGCUCAAAAUAGACGGCGACGCAGAGUUUGAUGUCUAAAACCAAGCAAUCCAUCACACCUGCCACAAUGCACGAUCCUAUCCAACACUGUUACACAUGAAGCACCUCAAGUCACCAUGCUCAAAAUAAACAGCCGCGCACAGAUUGAUAUCUGAAACCAAGCAAUCCAUCACACCCACGGUGAAGCAAGUAGUAGACACUAUUCAAUCCUGAAAGGACACAACUGAUGCGCUGUUCGCCGAGCUACACCCAAUACAGACUUUCCUCAGAAACCAGGAAGCAAGGCAUACAAGGUAACAUAUAGGAAACUAUUCAACAUCACACUGUUGCGGCGUGUUACCCGAUCCAGAUAACAUACACGUGGCGGCGUGCCACCCGACCCACACAUAUAUCUCACAAAAGGAGAUGUACAUCGAGCCAAAUUUUCUCAUUAUAAUAAACACAUAUAGUCUCAUGCCCGACCACAAGAAACACAUACGAAAAAAAAGUCCCUCAAUACCGGAACUGAAUCAAUGGUAGAAACCUCUACACUGACAUCCGCCACGAAGGCCCAAUUAAUAAAGCAAUCUUGCCAGCCGUCCACUGGUCUUUGGAAUACAAACUACCCUGCUAGAACAUAAUCCGAUGCACCUCAGCACGCAACCUGUGGCAUUUUUCGGCAUAGCUCACAGCACCAAAAUCUAGAAUAACCCAACACUGAGAAACCAGUCUACAAUCCAAUAUCAUAACCAAAAAUCUAACAUCCAAUCAAGGAAAAAUUCCACUCGGACCUCCAAUUCCCAUUAACCGCUAAACGGUGUCGAUACACACCAUCUACAACCACUGCAUAGUCGGAUCACAAGAACUCCUAGUCUCCAACUUUAAUAUAACACAUGAAUCACUAUACCUGAUUCCACACUCCGCUGUACAAGUACAUAUCACACAUCAAGUAUCCAUUCAUCCCACGAUAGAUAUUCAAAACUUUCCCUGAGCCAUCAACACUCAAUUAUCAACAGUUGAUCCAACAAGAAAAUACCGCAAUUCCACCAAAGUAUUUUCAGUUUACAUUACCUUGCCCCUUUUUUCUGAACAUAUACUCCCGUAAUCACUAGAAUAGCAGUACCAUUUUCCUUAAUCAUUAGAAGAUCGAUUCUUAAAUCACCUGAAGCUGGCCAUGAUGCUUAAGAAUUUAAUGCCUUUCCAUUCCAAACUGAAUCGAUCCUUACACACACAAAUCUCAAUCAUGCACAACAUAUCGCAUCUACCAUACCACAUUCGGAUAACAUAAGAAUUUUUAUCUUCCUUUCGCAUCGCGGACAUCCCGAACAUCGACGCACUAAACUAGUCAUUAACUUUUAUUGAUCCCUUUUAGAAGAAAAAUCAUUACACACUCCAUGCUUCACAUACCCACCGAAACAUACUCAUCUUCAAACCACGGUAAAACCCAACAAGAACAUUUAUGCCAACUCUAUUUGUACAAGCUAAACUGCCAUGACUGGAUCCUUCUAUCUAACCCAAGAUGUGCAAGCCGUCAAAACCCAAGAGCAUUGCUGCAAAAUGCCUGAAAAGCUCAUUACCUCAAACACAUACAAAGAAUUAAUCAUACCCUUACCAUACCGAUUCGGUUUAUUAUCAAGCUAUUCCAUUUAUCCAAUUUCCUUCCUGAUUCAUCUUUAAUUUGAUAUUAUCCCUUGAUGUAGCACCACAAUACCUCAACCCAGGUUUACCACACGAGACUCGCACAUAAGACCACACUGUUUAAGACUCAUAGGGCACUGAAUACCCUCUCAAACGUUUCCCAAAAAUACCACAUUCCAGAAUGUUUUACUUUGAAGAACUUCCUGAGAACAUGAAUUUGUUACCAUUACAUUCCAAAUACGGAUACAUAGAAUCCCAUAAUUAACAUAAAAUACCACAAGUCUUGAUCUUUUCUAGUGAAAACACAGUCUCUGGCCACAUACACAACCUUAAGACACCUGAUUAUUACAUGAAAAAUAUCGAGCACAAUAAAACCAUUCUCGAGAGUCAUUCACUCUUAUACAGUUGAUCAACAGCAACCUCCCCGACUUGGCUCGAAGCCAUAUAUCAAGGCACUCUUAACAACUCGUCUAUCAAUUAGCAGACUCCUUCGUCACUACCAAGAUCACAUAGAUGCAUCUCACAGCACUAACAUACUUAUCACAUGGAUAUCCAACCGUCAUUCCGGCUAAUAGGGACAAUAUCGAACAUAUAAGUUCAGAACACUUGCUCAUACAAUCAGCACCUCGGUGCGCAAGCCAUAGGCAAAGAUCCGGCCUCAAGUCCUCCAGACUGGCUCACGGGGAUCACAUCUCACCCCUUGAUCAGGGAACCACAAGCCCUCAAGGCACAUACAAUACUGAGCUCUCACGUACGCAUACAUACGUAUGGAAGAAAUUUCAAGAGUUAUCUCAAACUAGACCAAGUACGCACGAUAAGAAUUCCAAGAAAGUGAGGUUUUCCUAAAGGUUCUGCAGCCUCUCGAGGAUAAAUACAGACGUCUCUGUACCAAUCCGCGAGACUCUACUAAACCUGCUCAUGACUCGUGAGACCUAGUAACCUAGGCUCUUAUACCAACUUUUCACGACCCAAUCUCCAUACCCGGUCGUGGUGGUGUCUUUCGUGAAGACAAGGCCAGCCAACUAACCCAAUUCAUUUCUUUUACACUUACUAAACAUAAAUAGAUGGGAAAAUGGAACUUAAAGAACAUUAAUUAUCAAUAUUAUAGCCUAACUCAGCCCGAUCGGGGUGUCACAAGUCACGAGCAUCUAGUAGGGUCUUUAUUACAAUUUUUAAAUUCUAUAAUACAUAGAGUAAAAUCUAAAAAUCAAGAAGAAGAAGAAACUCGGUGCCACGAAUGUCGGCGGUCACCCUGUUUAGCUACGAUAGCAAUACCUACAAUUUUAAAGUUUAUACUCCAUUUGUUUCAUAUUGUUUGAGGUACUUUCCUUUUUAGUCUGUUCCAAAAUAAAUGAAACAUUUCUAAAUUUGGAAAUAAUUCUACUUUGAACUCUUUAUUUUACCCUUUUUGCCCUUAGUGAGAAGCUUUUAUAGCCACACAAUGAUAUGGCCCCACAAACCUUUUGCCCCUUAAUCUUUUAAAAAUACAAGUCUUAAAAGUAUUCUUCUUUUUUCUUAAACUUCGUGCCGAGUCAAACUACCUCAAAUAAUAUGAAACGGAGGAAGUAAUAAAUAGAGUAAAAUAUGAAAAUCAAGAAGAAGAAUAUCGGUGUUGCGAACGCUGGUGGUCACUCUGCUUAGCUACGAUAGCAAUACCUUCAAUCUGCUACUAACCCGCUACCGGGUGAACAGUACCUGCAACUGCACGCGAGAUGCAGGGAGUAAAGUGAGUACUUCCAACUCAGUGGUAAUAAGAGCGAAUAAUAUCUGAGCGAUAAGAAAACACACAUGAGCACUCCAAAAUGCUAUAACAGACAGUACAACCCCUUUUUUUAAAAAAAAUAGUAAAAAUCAUAACACCGAGAAAAUCUCAAGCAUAGUAAAAAAUUUUCUUUUGCAAAUACGCCUUUUUAAUAGUUGCGAAAGAAAUUUCAUCAAGUAGGGAAUAAUUAGAAAUUUGCUCCUCGGGCUCAAUAUCAACCUCUCAGUACAGUAUUAGCCCGCGAGCUCACUCCCAACUCACAAAGUACUACAUCAGCCUCUCGGGCUUAGCACUCCAUAACAUGUAACACUAGGGUAUCUGGGAAACAAGGCAAGUAAUAGCAUGUAUUCCAAUGAUAUGUGAGUUCUAAAAAUCAUGCCACGUAGUACAAACAGAAAUGAAUGCAUGAACGCAAUGCAAUGUACACGACCACUACGGCGCGCAGCCCGAUCCAUUUGGGUACCCUGCGCUCACUAGGGGUAUGUACAGACUCUGGAGGGGAUCCUACAGCCCAUGCGUUAUAAUAUUGCGGUGUGCAGUCCGAUCCAUAUAAUAUACUACUGCGGCGUGCAGUCCGAUCCAUAUAAUACACUACUACGGUGUGCAGUCCGAUCCACAUAACAUACUACUGCCGCGUGCAGCCUGACCCAUAUCUCAAUCCAGAAAUGCACACAUAACCUGAUGCGGUGUGCAGCCCGAUCCAUGUUCAGUCCAGCAAUGCACAUAAGCCAUUUGGGCAGUAGUAAAAUAGCAGUUCUCAGCUCAAGAUGUCAGUAAAAUAGCAUUUAAGUUUUCAAAUCUUAGAAAAAUGGCUUAGUUUGCAAAAAAGUAUUUAGAAUCUUGGACUGAGAUCAAAUAAUAUGCAACAUAUUACAAAUCAGUGAUAUCAAUCCCUGAAGGAUUCAAACAAUCGGCAUAAAGCCCAAAACAUGGCGAUCAGCCCAAAUCAUGAUAGCAUCAAGUAGUUUCAAUCAAUCACGCAGUAAAAUAAACAACCGAGAUGGACCAAGUCACAAUCCCCAACGGUGCUCUACCCCACGCUCAUACCUGGCGUGCAAGUCACCAUAAUACAGCACUAUGAUGUGCAAAUCUGGGAUUUCAAACCCUUAGAAUAUCAUUCACAAGUAUUACUCACCUCGAACCGGCAAAAUCUCAAGCCUCCGACGCCUUUGCCCCUGAAAUCAGCCUCCAUGCAUGUCGAGUCUAGCGAAAAAUAGAGCGAAUAUAUCAUAAUAUGAAAAUGGGACAAUACCCCAUCGAAAACUAUCAAAUUAUAGCAAGAACCUCGAAACUAGCAAAACUCGAGCCCCGAGCCCGCUUCUCAAAAAAUUAUGAAACUUACAUUAUCAAAUUCCUCGUCUUGCCACUAGUCUGUGCAUACCAAGAACUCCCAAAUCUGAGCUCAAAUGACCUAUUAAAUCCCAAUUUGAAAUAUCAAAAACUCAAGCCCUAGUUCUUCAAUUUUAGGCUUAAUCUCUUGAAUUUCUAGGUAGAUUUCACAAUAAAUACGAGCUUUAAGUUCAAAAAUCUUACCUCCAAUCGAUUCUCCUUGAGUCCCUCUUCAAUUCCCUCUCCCAAGCUCCAAAAUCGCUCAAUAAUGGAGGAAAAUAACAUAGGCUCGCAGAUGAAAUAUUAUUAAAAACACUUCUGCCCAGGUGCUUUACUCUAUUAAAUCGCAUACAGUACAUUGUGAUCGCAUAGCACCAAAAAUCAAUCUCCCAGAAUUACCUUAUGCGAACGCAAAAAAUCCUACGCGAACGUAGAUACAUCCCAAAAUACCCUAUGCGAUCGCACACACUCUCACGGGAUCGCAUAGGAUAAUUUCUACCAAAAUUUCUGGCCAAAAUUUACACUGUGCGAUUGCAUGACAUACAUUGCGAUCGCAUAUAACAACCAAUCACCCCUCAUAAUUCCUUCUAUGCGUUCACAUGACACUCUCUGCGGUCACAUAGAGCAAAUAUGGUCUGCAAUUUUUGUGCUGUAAUUAUGAAACUCCAAACCUCCCGAUAGCCUUCCGAAAUCGCCCCAAGGCCCCCGUGACCUCAACCAAAAGUACAAAUAUGUUCUAUUACCUUAUUAAAACUUGCUCGAAUCAUAAAAACACUAUCAUUAACAUCAAAAUCCUCAAAUAUCAUCAAAUCAAGGCCUAAGUUUUCUUUAAACUUUUGAAACUCACAUUCGAUCAAAAACCCAACCAAACGACGUCCGAAUGACCUGAAAAUUUGCAGACAUAUCCAAAAUCACCUAACAAAACUAUUGAAACUCUUGGAAUUCCAUUCCCACCCUCGAAUCAAAAUCUUGCCUAUUAAUCGGGAUACGCCAAAAUUCAGACUUUGCCAAUUCAAGCCUAAUUCUACAUCGAGCCUCCAAAAAAAAUUCCGAUCACACUCCUAAGUCACAAAUCAUCCCCCGAAGCUAACCAAAUCACCGGAAUUCACAUCCGAGCCCUCUUAUCAUAUAGUCAACUUCCAGUUGACUUUUCAAAAACAAGCUCACUUCAAAGAGACCAUGUGCCUCAUUUCCGACUAAAACCAAAUCAAUUAUAUCUUAUCAACUCAAAUACUGAUAUUGAAACAUAGAACAACAUAAUAUAGGGGAAACGGGGCAGUAACUCAUUGACAACAUGCCGGGUCAUAGAAAUGACACCAAAUUUUGCAUACAAUUUUCACAUAGAAAAACGAACCUAUUCCAAGUUCCAAAACCAAAUUUUAAACCUGAUAUCCCCAAAGUCAAUCUAUAGUUUAACUUAGGAAAACUUCUAAACCUCAAAUUGCCAACUUUCGGCAAAACAAGUCGAAUCAACCUAGGGAUCUUCAAAUUUCAUUCGAGGUAUACGCCCAAGUCCAAAAUCGUGAUACGAACAUAUUGGAUCCAUCAAAAUACCGUUCCAGGCUCAAUUUCACAAAAGUCAAACUUUGGUUAAUAUGUCCAAUUUAAGCUUCUAAACCAAGAACAAAAGGGUCCAAAUCAAUUAAAACCUUUCCGGAACGAAACUAACCAACCACCAAGUCAUAAAAUCACAAAUACACAUGUGUGAAGCAUCAAAAGGGGAAACGAGCUCAAAUACACAAAAUGAUCGGUCAGAUCAUUACAUUACUUGUUUGGAGACAUGAUGAACAUGAUAGCAAUUCAGGAAUUCAAACCUGGAACAUGUGCUCUAAUACCAAAUUGACGUAUUUUCAAGGUUUUUGUCCUCUCAAGCACAAAUAAUAGAGAAAAUCAAAACUACAUCUCUAAGUUUUUCACAACUAGCGAAAGCAUUUGUCAAAUUCAAGUGAGAAGAAGAAUCUUACCCACCUGUUCCUCAAUGCCGCGAGAUUUCAAGAAGCAGUGAAUACAGAAAGAAGAGCCAUCCAAAAGAGAAAUCAUGUUUUUGAAGCAAGAGUUAAAAAGCCUAAUCACCAAUAUCUAUUUUCAGCAUAUUUAGCCAUUUAAAUAGGUCUUACAAUGAGUAAAAUUGAU